GUGUAAAGUAACCUUUGUCAGAUGUCUGCGCAUGCGUGAAGACAUAAAAAAUAAAUUCCGGUUUGACGUUGUUGGUGUAAAUACAUAAAAUAACUCCUUUUGUCAGUACAUAGAAGAAUGACUCGUGGCAACCAGCGUGAAAAGUCCCGGGAAAAGGCGCUCAAGCAACAAAAGGAGAAGCAAAAAUCCAUGGCUGCAAGUGAAAAGGAAGGAAAUAAGGGGCUCUCACUUGAGGAAAGAAAACAUAGAGAUGCAGAGAUCAUGAGGCAAAAGCAGUUAGCAAAGCAGGCAGCCAAAGGGGCUGAGGGCGGAGCCAGCAAAUAGCAGGUCUCCGCCUUCUGAUGCUUAUUAAGGGACAUUGCCUUCAAACGUUCUCUGUAAUAAUGUUACUGAGUAGUUUUGGUGGAAACUUUGCCUUGUACAUAAAUCAUUUGACACUUUCAUGGAAUUCAGUUUGUGUCACUUAAGAUGUAAACAUACAAAUGUAGACUCUUAAUCUGUUACAAGUAGUGUGAUGACAUAAAGUACCAAACAAAAAUGAAUAUCAGUUGAUCACCGUCUUUGCGUUAAUUUUGAGAAGCUUCUGAUUGUUAGGCAAUUUGACUGUGAACGAUUUUUCAUUCAAGCUAUGUGUUUUGUUCUUAAUUCAAAAUGUUCGAAGGUCUUCACAUUUUCUGAAUUUAAAACCAGUUUAUAUGAAAAAUCACUACCACUGUCAAGGAUCAGUUAAUAUUGUAAAUUUUGUAAUUAUGCUCAUAUGAUGUCAGUUAUUGUUUUCCUGAAUAUCAACACAGAGUGCGUAGUUUGACAGACUGUGUAAUGAGUUUGUGUACUCUUGCUUUCAUUUUUCUGUUCUUUUACAUAAUAAACAUGAAUAAAAACUUGUAUGAAU